UACGAAGGGGGCUAGCGUUGCUCGGAAUCACUGGGCGUAAAGCGCACGUAGGCGGGUCUUUAAGUCAGGGGCGAAAUCCUGGAGCUCAACUCCAGAACUGCCUUUGAUACUGAGGAUCUCGAGUCCGGGAGAGGUGAGUGGAACUCCGAGUGUAGAGGUGAAAUUCGUAGAUAUUCGGAAGAACACCAGUGGCGAAGGCGGCUCACUGGCCCGGUACUGACGCUGAGGUGCGAAAGCGUGGGGAGCAAACAGG
rnacentral:rRNA from 1 species